rnacentral:snRNA from 1 species
AUUCCCAAGUAUAAUGACAUAAAAUUGUAUUAAGACUGCUUUCUUUUUUAGUAAUAGGAUUAAUCAAUUUGGUGUAAUGAUUUUUGGAGCUUGGAGUUGGAAUAGGAGCUUACUCCGUCCACUCCACGCAUCGACCUGGUAUUGCAGUACUUCCAGGAAUGGUGCACCCCCU